ACAAGAACACAAUACAGACAUGAUUAAACCAGAUUGUUAGUAAAUGUACCAACAUCAAGAUUUGGGUGUUGUUGAAGAAUGGACUUUGGGUGAGGACCCAGCAAACUCCUUGCCACUGGAACAUGCUCUUCCAGCUGAAUGAUUCUGUGUAUCUCUGAUCCCCAGAAGACCACUGCCUUAGGAAUUAUAUACUCCAGGUCUGAAGAGAGUAGGCUUCUAGUAGUACCAGCCUUCUACCAGCUCCUGCCCUUCUCCAUGGCAGUUCUUCUACUCAUUCUUCCUCCAUAAAAGAUAGCUAUUCCACCCUAUUGCUUCCUGGUCGGUUCCACUACCAUUUCAGCUCAUUCCAUUAAAUUUACCUUGACCUCAAGUCUUCCUUACAUACAAUGUCCCUUCAAAACACCCAGGCAAUGAUGUCAUUCCCAUGGGCUUUGAUCUACAUUCAAGUGACUACAACAGUUCUUCCUCUAGAGGUGUAUAGCAUUGCCCAUUGUAAGUCCUUCAGAAUUGUCCCAGAUCAUUGAAUUAUUGAGAAUAGCCAAGUUUUCACAACUGAUCAUUGUAUAAUGUUGCUGUUACUAUGUACUAUGUUCUUCCAGUUCUUAUUUCACUCUGCAUCUGCUCAUGGAGAUCUUUCUAGCUUUUUUCUGAGAUUUUGUUUAUCAUUUCUUCUAGCACAAUAGUAUUUUAUAACUAACAUACACAAUAAUUUGUCCAAUUAUUCCACAAUUGAUGGUCAUACCCUCAAUUUCUAAUUAUUUGCCACCACAAAAAGAACUGCUAUAAAUAUUUUUAUACAGGUAGAUCCUUUCCCCUCUAAAAAUAUCUUUUUGUGAUACAGACCCAGAAGUUGUAUUGAAGGAUCAAAGAGAAGGUUCAACUUUACAGACCUUUAGGCAGAGUUCCAAAUUGCCCUCCAGAAUAGUUGGAUCAGUUCACACUAUUUGAUUGAUUUUUAAUCACUAUUUGUUGAGUGAAAUUCAAGUGACUGGUUCUGUUAGACCUUCCAAUUCUGUAAUUCUAUAAGUCUGUGGAGAGGCAAGAAGACAAGAAGACUUGGUUCAUGUUAUAUCUUUGACACACACUGGCAAGUCGUUAGUUGCAUUACCUCUCAGAGAUCCCAACAAUUCUUUAAAAUUAUACAUUUCAGAAAAGGGAAUGACCUGCAAUGAUAGUAAAACUUUCCUUUCUUGGACAUUUUUUAGACUAAUAUAACCACAGUUCCAGUUCCUUUCUUUAUAUUUCUGUGAUUUGUCCUUUCACCUUAUCCAUUAAAAAG